rnacentral:lncRNA from 1 species
AUAAGCUUUAACUAUUUAUUUGCAAACAACAAUCACUCUUUUAUUUCUUUUCCACCUCUUUAUGAAGAAGAAAUUAAGAACACAUAGGGUGUGACAUAUAUAUAUAUAUAUCAUGUUCUAAACACCCAAAUACCCAGAAGAAAAUCUUUAUUACCAACCAAAAAAACAAAAGAAAAGCACCCAAAUAACAAACUAAACGGUACAGCUGAAUCUGGAAAGCAUGUCUUUGACAACAAUAUCUGUCAUACGACGAUGAGCUUCAUCUGUCAAAUGAAUACCAUCCCAAUGCACGUAUUGAGCCGGGUUAGGACAAGCUUUUACACUAGGUGAUCCACACACAGUCCUGAAAUUAAAGUUGUAUCGUCCUCCAGUUCCACAGCACGCAGUUAACAACGUAUUCUGAUUAAAUCCAAAGGAAGAAGGACUACGAAGAAGAGUCAAAAGCGCCCCGUAAUAAUCUCCAUAGACAAUUCUAACAUUCGGGAAUUCACGUUGUAGAGAUGCCAAACCUCUGUUCAGGUAUCUAUUAUGGUACGAAGCAAAAUCAUUAUAAUUUCUCAAGCAUCCCAAUUGGUCGUAACCAUUUGCAUUAGAAUCAGGGAAAGUUGUUAGAUACAAAGGAAGACACCCGAGAGGAUAAAUUCCUGGAACCAAAAUACGAGUUGCCCCAAGCUGAAUCACAUCUUUGAUGCUUUUCAUAAUACCAGCAACAACAAAAGGAACGUACGUACGGACCUCGGGUAAUUGCUUUCUUUGGAAAAACCCAUUGUAAUAAUCAUUGCCACCCCAUUCUCCCAUUACUAUGAGAGAACUCCUAAGAGUUUGUGCACAAUUAGAACCACAUGUGGAUUGGAGAUGAGAUUUAAACCAACCUAAUUGAGCAGACAACGGCGUAUUCCAUGUGGGCAGCCGAAUACCUCGAGCUGCCCAGAAAGAGGAAUCUAGCGCCGUGGCACCAGCCACGGCGAAGUUAACGCCUUGGCUAAAAGAAGCACCUCUGUCCAAGUAAGCAUUGAGGAAGGAGAGUUUGAAAGCAGAGGAAAUGAAGUCGAUAAUAAUACGGCCGUUUGAGAAACGGCCGGUAGGUCUUCUAAAGAAGGUUUCGCCGUAAGGAGCUUGAUUUGCUCGGAAUAUAAUGGAAGCGCCGGGUGUACGGAUGACAUUUCCGGC